rnacentral:rRNA from 1 species
CAGCAGCCACGGUAAUACGUAGGUGGCAAGCGUUGUCCGGAAUUAUUGGGCGUAAAGGGCUCGCAGGCGGUUUCUUAAGUCUGAUGUGAAAGCCCCCGGCUCAACCGGGGAGGGUCAUUGGAAACUGGGAAACUUGAGUGCAGAAGAGGAGAGUGGAAUUCCACGUGUAGCGGUGAAAUGCGUAGAGAUGUGGAGGAACACCAGUGGCGAAGGCGACUCUCUGGUCUGUAACUGACGCUGAGGAGCGAAAGCGUGGGGAGCGAACAGGAUUAGAUACCCGCGUAGUCCCUGUCUCUUAUAA